rnacentral:rRNA from 1 species
AUGGUGGUGCCGUCGGUGUUCGCGGCCUUCGACAAGGAUGGAGACGGCAAGGUGUCCGUGUCCGAACUGCGGCGCUGCAUGGAGGCGACGCUGGGCGAGGGUGUGUCCGAGGAGGAGGCAGCGGCGGUCCUCGCGGCGGUGGACGCCGACGGUGAUGGGUUGCUAAACCAAGAAGAGUUCUCGAGGCUGACAGCCCCCGGUGCCCAGGAAGAGGACGAUGCCGACGUGAAGCGAAGGUGCCUGAGGGAGGCGUUCGGGAUGUACGCGUCGUCGUCCACGGAAGACACGAUUACGCCGGCGAGCCUGAGGCGGACGCUGAGCAGGCUGGGGUCACACGAGCUGGGCGUGGAGGAGUGCCAGGCAAUGAUCUGCAGAUUCGACCUCGACGGUGACGGCAAACUCUCCUUCGAUGAGUUCCGGGUCAUGAUGAUGGCCUGA